rnacentral:rRNA from 1 species
GACGAACGCUGGCGGCGUGCUUAACACAUGCAAGUCGAACGGAAAGGCCAGAAUCUUGCGGCUCUCGUGUUAGGGGCGGGCGGGUGAGACACGCGUGGAUAACCCACCUAUAUGAGUGAGAUAACUUCGAGAAAGGGGAGCUAAUACCAGAUGAUCUUUUGAACCGCAGGGGUGAAUAGUGAUAGACGGUCUUGGGGUCACUUCUAGAUGGAUCGGCGCUGCAUUGGCUAGUUGGUAAGUUAACGGCUUACCAAGGCAACGAUGCGUGACCGAGGUGAGGGGGUGAUCGGCCACCCUGGAGCUGAGACGCGGUCCUGGCUCCUACGGGAGGCAGCAGUAGGGAAUGGUCGGCAAUGGGCGGAAGCCUGACGGAGCGGCGGCGCGCGAGUGAUGAAGGGCUUCGGAUCGUAAAACUGUCUUAUGGGUGAAGAACAGAUUUGUACGUAACUGAGCAGAUCGUGACGGUACCGGGUCAAGAAGCACCGGCUAACUACGUG